UACGAGAGGCCCAAGCGUUAUUCGGAUUUACUGGGCUUAAAGAGUUCGUAGGCGGCGCAGCAAGUAGGGUGUGAAAGCCCUCGGCUCAACCGAGGAAUUGCGCUCUAAACUACUGUGCUUGAGGAACCUAGAGGUGAGCAGAACAGAUGGUGGAGCGGCGAAAUGCGUUGAUAUCAUCUGGAAUACCGGAGGCGAAGGCGGCUCACUGGGAGUUUUCUGACGCUGAGGAACGAAAGCCAGGGUAGCGAACGGG
rnacentral:rRNA from 1 species